AAGGUUAACCGUAUAGGGGAGCCGGAGGGAAACCGAGUCUUAAUUGGGCGUUAAGUUGCAGGGUAUAGACCCGAAACCCGGUGAUCUAGCCAUGGGCAGGUUGAAGGUUGGGUAACACUAACUGGAGGACCGAACCGACUAAUGUUGAAAAAUUAGCGGAUGACCUGUGGCUGGGGGUGAAAGGCCAAUCAAACCGGGAGAUAGCUGGUUCUCCCCGAAAGCUAUUUAGGUAGCGCCUCGUGAAUUCAUCUCCGGGGGUAGAGCACUGUUUCGGCUAGGGGGCCAUCCCGGCUUACCAACCCGAUGCAAACUGCGAAUACCGGAGAAUGUUAUCACGGGAGACACACGGCGGGUGCUAACGUCCGUCGUGAAGAGGGAAACAACCCAGACCGCCAGCUAAGGUCCCAAAGUCAUGGUUAAGUGGGAAACGAUGUGGGAAGGCCCAGACAGCCAGGAUGUUGGCUUAGAAGCAGCCAUCAUUUAAAGAAAGCGUAAUAGCUCACUGGUCGAGUCGGCCUGCGCGGAAGAUGUAACGGGGCUAAACCAU
rnacentral:rRNA from 1 species